GCCUCGGUGGCUUAGAUGGCUAUAGCAGCGGCCUCGUAAGCCGCAGGUCGCGGGUUCAAAUCCCGCCCGAGGCUCCA
rnacentral:tRNA from 1 species